UAAUACGGAGGGUGCAAGCGUUAUUCGGAAUCAUUGGGUGUAAAGCGCGUGUAGGCGGCUGGGUAAGUUAGAUGUGAAAGCUCUGGGCUUAACCCGGAAAGUGCAUUUAAAACUGCCUGGCUUGAGUCUCGUAGAGGAAGGUGGAAUUCCCAGUGUAGAGGUGAAAUUCGUAGAUAUUGGGAGGAACACCGGUGGCGAAGGCGACCUUCUGGGCGCAGACUGACGCUGAGACGCGAAAGCGUGGGGAGCAAACAGG
rnacentral:rRNA from 1 species